AUGUUUAAUGCGUGGGUGCACGUUGAUGCUGCCUAUGCUGGCAGCGCGUGCAUCUGCCCGGAGUUCCGGCACCACAUCGAUGGCGUAGAGCACGUGGACUCCAUCAGCAUCAGCCCGCACAAGUGGCUGCUCACAUGCCUUGACUGCACCUGCUUGUGGGUGCGCGACAGGCACUGUCUCACUGGCGCACUAGAGACGAACCCGGAGUAUCUCAAGAACGACGCUACCAACUCUGGUGAGGCCACCGAUUUCAAGGACAUGCAAGUUGGUGUGGGUCGCCGCUUCCGUGGGCUCAAGUUGUGGAUGGUGAUGCGCACCUAUGGCACCGCCAAGCUUCAGGAGCACAUCCAAAGCGAUGUCGCUAUGGCCAAGGCAUUCGAGGAGCUUGUCCGUGCCGAUGACCGGUUCGAGAUUGUAGUGCCGAGGAACUUCGCCCUGGUAUGCUUCAGAAUCAGGGCAUGUGGAGCCAUGACAGAGGAAGUGGCCGAUGAGGUGAACUAUGUGCUGAUGGACCGGCUCAACAUUUCGGGGAAGGUCUACCUUGCGCACACAGUGGUCGGUAGCAGGUUCGUUCUACGGUUUGCGGUAGGGUCGUCGAUGCAGGAGGAGCGGCACAUGAAAAGGGCGUGGGAGCUCAUCAAGAAAACGACCACCGAGAUCAUCGAGGCGGAGGAGAUCAUGCAAUAA
rnacentral:rRNA from 1 species